CAAAAAAUAGUUUAAAAUAAAGAAUAUUAAUUUUGGAAAUUAAAGGUUAUAUUUAUAUAAUGAAUGGAUUAAUAGCAUAUAUAUAUAUUUUUUGA
rnacentral:tRNA from 1 species